rnacentral:rRNA from 1 species
CCGGAGCUUGCUCCACCGGAAAAAGAAGAGUGGCGAACGGGUGAGUAACACGUGGGUAACCUGCCCAUCAGAAGGGGAUAACACUUGGAAACAGGUGCUAAUACCGUAUAACAAUCGAAACCGCAUGGUUUUGAUUUGAAAGGCGCUUUCGGGUGUCGCUGAUGGAUGGACCCGCGGUGCAUUANCUAGUUGGUGAGGUAACGGCUCACCAAGGCCACGAUGCAUAGCCGACCUGAGAGGGUGAUCGGCCACAUUGGGACUGAGACACGGCCCAAACUCCUACGGGAGGCAGCAGUAGGGAAUCUUCGGCAAUGGACGAAAGUCUGACCGAGCAACGCCGCGUGAGUGAAGAAGGUUUUCGGAUCGUAAAACUCUGUUGUUAGAGAAGAACAAGGAUGAGAGUAACUGUUCAUCCCUUGACGGUAUCUAACCAGAAAGCCACGGCUAACUACGUGCCAGCGAGCCGCGGUAAUACGUAGGUGGCAAGCGUUGUCCGGAUUUAUUGGGCGUAAAGCGAGCGCACGC